GUCACUCUCCCUUCUUCGACCGCCCAUCCUUCCUCUGCUGAAGUAUUGCCCUCACGUGUGACCGGUGUGCGUGUGCGUGCUUCAGGUGGGGAACGACAAGCACCCAAUCGCACACAGGCGGACAGAGAGCCGCACGGACUUGUGUGGCCGUCUCCUCCCCCGUGCCUUGCCGCGGCGGCCCGCGUAUUCGGCUCGCCACUCCACCUACGUGUUUGCGGUGCCGGGUGUGGAGGAAGGGCGAGGACGCGAGGGGGGAGAGCGCCAAUUUCUGUUCGGUUUCCUGUUGGCCACGCGGAGACUGCAGCUCCAACCACCAAUCCCCCCCUUCCACGCACAAACACACACACACACACACGCAUGCGGAUCUUGUGAGCAGCACCGUUACGUAUCGUCCUCCCCCGAGUAUCCGUUGAACAGCAUCUCCUGGAGGUCGGCUGUGCCUCGCAUAUCUUCAGUCGUGCCGCGGCAGCUCUUAUUUUCUCUGCUGCUCCUCACCUUUGCCCGCCCUCUCCCCUCGCAGAGGGACCGAUAACGUACCCGGCCGUGGCCGGAGCAACCAUGGACGGCGCUAGCGCAGAUGGCGGGGAUGGCGCUCCUGCGUCGGCGGAGCGCCAUUCUCUGAAGCCGCUUAUGUGGAUAGAGGAGGUGCGAGACGCGAGCCAGCCGAACGCCGUCUUUCUCAAUGUGUACGACGUGAGCGGCAGUAGCACGCUCCUGUGCUCCGUUGGGUGGGGCGUGCAUCAUGUCGGCGUGCAGGUGUACGGCAAGGAGUACCAGUACGGCCAUCGCCCCAUCGGCAAAGGCAUCGGCAGUGUCAAGCCUCGCCACUCGCCUCCGCACACGUACCGGGAGCAGUUCUUCCUUGGUCAGACGCAGCUGAGUGCGUUCGAGGUGGAGAAGCUGGUGGUGGCCUUCUCGGAAAAGGUGGAGUGGCUGGGUAACAACUACCACCUCGUGAAGCACAACUGCAUCGACUUCGCUCGAGCAUUUUGCGAGGCGCUCCUGCCGCCCGCAGUACGCGUGGAGCAGGCGCGGCGGGCGGAGGAGGCGGGUCUGCCGCAGAAGAUGCACAUGGUGGAGGUCGAGGUGGACGGAAUGCGGCACUCGGUGCCGGUGCUCAUACCGCACCACGUCGAUCGGCUAGCGCGGUACGCAGCGCACUACCUGCCGAAAUCCUCCAUGCGGAGCUUCGACCGACUCGAAAGCUCGUUCUUCAGCAUGUCCGAGGUGCCCCAGGAGCGGGGGCAGCCUACCGCCGCGGAUCCCAACGCAAAUCGCAGCACAACCCCGACACCGCAGCCGCGCACCCGCACAGGUCAUUAGCCGGUGCUAGUAGUCGGCGAGCGUUGUGCGUGUGUCGUGCGUGGGGGAGAGGGGAGGGGGCGAGCGUCAAAUGAGGCAAGCACACACACACACACGCACACCUCUCAAUGUGUAAAUCUAUGCACAUGCUGUUAAGCACCCCGGCCUGUGCGCUGAUCGCCGCCCCCUCCCCUCCCUCUCUACGCCCCUUGCAUCGGCGUGUGCCUUCGUUCAAUUUUGCGCUUGCGUGGAGCUGAUGGUGGUCGUCUUGCUGGUGACAAGGGCGGGUAGCGGUGUGCCUCUUCGUACAUGUGUGUGUGUGUGUGUGUGUGUGUGUGUGUGUGUGUCGGCACGUAGGCCAGAGCACAGAUCGUUCCUCCAUCUGCCAGCCCCCUUGCUGCUGCUCGCGUUCUCUUAGGAUGUGCGCUGCUGUCGAUGCACAUCAUGGCAGACAUAUGCACGCACACAGAUGCGCCCGAUCGUUUCCCUCGCUCCUUCUUUUCUGGCUACGUCGGCUCUUAGGACUGAUCCUUGCACAGAUGUGUGCAUACGCAUCGACUCGGCCAGAUUUGAUGUGUACAGCGAUGAUGUAUAUGUGUAUAUAUCGUGUGUCUUUCUUCACCGUGCGUUCAUUCAGCAGCGACACAUCGUUCUGACCUCCUCCCACUCCCUCAGCAACUGCGUCGCAGGCGCUUGACCCUAUCACCACCAGAGGUGGGCUCGGCAUUUGCAGGGAUAUAAGGGGAGGAGGAGGGCACUGGACCCUGCGACACCACGCACGGAGGCGCGUGUGCCCUCCCCCUUCGCCCCCAUCGUCAUGAGGGCCAUGUGAACAGCACAGGAAACCAAGUUGAUGUGUGCGUGUUUGUUUUUGUUCCACAGUGCGCACCUUCCCGCGUGCAUGCGAUGCAGUAGUGGUUCUUCUGCUGCUCCGUUUCGCUCGUCGCGCUGCUUGCGCUCUUUCCUUACUUACUUUUUCGCCUUUCUCCAUCUUUGUGCGCGUGCCGCUACGGCGGGGGCGGCGGCGGCGGCUGAUGUUGUGACUGCAUUUUUCCUCUCAUCUUUUCGUGCUCGCUCGUGGCGCUUGCGCCCUCCAUGCUUGAGCCCCGCGCAUGCAAGCACCUCUCCUCAACUUACUCUUUCGCCCGCCCCCCUUCCUCGAUCUCCUCCCUCUUCCGUGUCCUCAGCAAACGUGUGCGUGCGUCCGCGUCUACCGUGAUGUGUGUGUGUGUGUGUGUGUCGCUGGAUGGAGGAAUGACGUUGAUGGUCAUCGAGUUGAAC
rnacentral:misc_RNA from 1 species